UGGGGGAUAUUGCACAAUGGGCGAAAGCCUGAUGCAGCGACGCCGCGUGGGGGAUGAAGGCUUUCGGGUUGUAAACCUCUUUCGCUAUCGAACAAGGCCCGCUUAGGGUGGGUUGAGGGUAGGUGGAGAAGAAGCGCCGGCUAACUACGUGCCAGCAGCCGCGGUAAUACGUAGGGCGCGAGCGUUGUCCGGAAUUAUUGGGCGUAAAGGGCUUGUAGGCGGCUUGUUGCGCCUGCUGUGAAAACGCGGGGCUUAACUUCGCGCGUGCAGUGGGUACGGGCAGGCUUGAGUGUGGUAGGGGUGACUGGAAUUCCGGGUGUAUCGAUGGAAUGCGCAGAUAUCUGGAGGAACACCGAUGGCGAAGGCAGGUCACUGGGCCAUUACUGACGCUGAGGAGCGAAAGCAUGGGUAGCGAACAGG
rnacentral:rRNA from 1 species